CUACGGGAGGCAGCAGUCGAGGAUCUUCGGCAAUGGGCGCAAGCCUGACCGAGCGACGCCGCGUGUGCGAUGAAGGCCUUCGGGUCGUAAAGCACUGUCGUGGGGGAGAAAAGGGCAACCUUGAUCGACCCCAGGAGGAAGCACGGGCUAAGUUCGUGCCAGCAGCCGCGGUAAGACGAACCGUGCAAACGUUAUUCGGAAUCACUGGGCUUAAAGGGCGCGUAGGCGGGCGGUCUGGUCCGGGGUGAAAGCCUCCAGCUCAACUGGAGAAGUGCCCUGGAUACCGGCGGUCUCGAGGGAGGUAGGGGCGUGCGGAACUUCGGGUGGAGCGGUGAAAUGCGUAGAUAUCCGAAGGAACACCGGUGGCGAAAGCGGCGCGCUGGACCUCUUCUGACGCUGAGGCGCGAAAGCCAGGGGAGCAAACGGGAUUAGAAACCCUUGUAGUCC
rnacentral:rRNA from 1 species